GGGGUCGUUACGGAUUCGACAGGUAUAAGUCGGUGAUUCGAUGCAAUUCGUUUUGACGAAAACGUAAAAUCGUUAACAGUUAAAUAUAACUGACAAAGAAAAUACAAACACUUUAGCAUUCGCUGCGUAAACAACGUAGUAGCUAAGAUCCGGCCAGCAUUGCCCAUGUGUUGUCACCGGGUCCUAUAUAAGUGGGCUACGCUUGAUCUAUCCGCCUGUUAGAUCAAGAAGAGACGACCAGGCUCGCUUGGAUCGAUGCGGGUUACCAGAGCUAUUUCCAAGCUAAACUAAUCUGGAAACUAUAAUUGUAGAUUCGGGUAUACCGUUAUAGUUGGACGCGGGUUCGACUCCCGCCGACUCCAUAU
rnacentral:tmRNA from 1 species